rnacentral:misc_RNA from 1 species
GAUGAAGAACGCAGCGAAAUGCGAUAAGUAAUGUGAAUUGCAGAAUUCAGUGAAUCAUCGAGUCUUUGAACGCUCAUUGCGCCCCCUGGUAUUCCGGGGGGCAUGCCUGUCCGAGCGUCAUUGCUGCCCUCAAGCACGGCUUGUGUGUUGGGCCCCCGUCCCCGGUUUCCCCCGGGGACGGGCCCGAAAGGCAGCGGCGGCACCGCGUCCGGUCCUCGAGCGUAUGGGGCUUUGUCACCCGCUCUGUAGGCCCGGCCGGCGCCAGCCGACACCCAACUUUAUUUCUAAGGUUGACCUCGGAUCAGGUAGGGAUACCCGCUGAACUUAAGCAUAUCAAUAAGCGGAGGA